GCCGCGUGCCUCCCAUCCUUGGUCGGUGGUAAAUGCAGGAGGUAAUUAGAACAGGAAUUUAACAAACUUGGAGCCAGCCCACUGAGUCGUUAAAAAAACACCCGCAAAGAAAACACACGAGCCCUAACACUACAGAGAGUUCCGAAACACAAAGUAUAUUUUGAGCUAAGGGUUACAAUCCUUGAAAUCUGGAAAUUUCAAG
ensembl:misc_RNA